CAGCGUUUUAUUUCGGACGUCCUCUUUUUUGGGAGCGGCUGGAAGGUGAAGAUAAGACCAUGGGUGGGAUGAAUCCUAAAAAUAGUUAAUGGUCUUCAGUAGUUUCGUCAUGUUCAACGACAAAAGUAGGAUCAUCGCCUGGAGAAUCCUCAUUGAUUGCGUAACCUUCAUUCAAUGCUGUGAUAACAUUGUCGUUGGAAACCGGUGUGUUUUGCACCAACGUGACCGGCUUAUUCUCCUUGAUUAAGGUGUUAAUAUCCUCAAGAAACUGCACCUUCUCUAAAAAAUCAUGUGCAGCUAACCGCUUAGUGUGUCAGCUAAUUUCCAAAAAAAAGUUGUUGCCAUCAUAAACUGGUCUUUCUCAGUUUUUGGUUUGCGGCUCUUUUUCUUUUUAUGCACUCCAAUCGGAGAGGACCUAUUCGCAAUAACAGUUGCAUCGUCCUGGCAUUCGUUUCGCCAGUGUUCUGCAAAAGAUCCUGUCGGAAUUUCGGUGUUCUCUUGAAUAUGAAAACUUAUAAUAUGGCGGCAAGGCAACUCAAACGCCAUGAAGAAGUCACAAGUACAGGCCGUCAAAUCACUUUUCAAGUGGACGAAAUCAUAGGAUUUCUUUUUCAUAAUUUUGAUGUCUUCCUCCAUUUUGCUCCACGCAUA